CAGUCGCCACGGGAACACCAGCACCUCGAGUGGUCAGGAGGUUUAUUGGGCCUAAAGCAUCCGUAGCCGGUUGCAUAAGUUUUCGGUUAAAUCUAUGCGCUUAACGUAUAGGCCGCCGAAAAUACUGUGCAGCUAGGGAGUGGGAGAGGUACACGGUACUCGAUAGGAAGGGGUAAAAUCCUUUGAUCUAUUGAUGACCACCUGUGGCGAAGGCGGUGUACCAGAACACGUUCGACGGUGAGGGAUGAAAGCUGGGGGAGCAAACCGGAUUAGAUACCCCAGUAGUCCCUGUCUCUUAUAC
rnacentral:rRNA from 1 species